rnacentral:rRNA from 1 species
GGCGAACGCUGGCGGCGUGCUUAACACAUGCAAGUCGAACGGAAAGGCCCUGCUUUUGUGGGGUGCUCGAGUGGCGAACGGGUGAGUAACACGUGAGUAACCUGCCCUUGACUUUGGGAUAACUUCAGGAAACUGGGGCUAAUACCGGAUAGGAGCUCCUGCUGCAUGAUGGGGGUUGGAAAGUUUCGGCGGUUGGGGAUGGACUCGCGGCUUAUCAGCUUGUUGGUGGGGUAGUGGCUUACCAAGGCUUUGACGGGUAGCCGGCCUGAGAGGGUGACCGGCCACAUUGGGACUGAGAUACGGCCCAGACUCCUACGGGAGGCAGCAGUGGGGAAUAUUGCACAAUGGGCGGAAGCCUGAUGCAGCAACGCCGCGUGCGGGAUGACGGCCUUCGGGUUGUAAACCGCUUUCGCCUGUGACGAAGCGUGAGUGACGGUAAUGGGUAAAGAAGCACCGGCUAACUACGUG